CCUACGGGUGGCAGCAGUGGGGAAUAUUGGACAAUGGGGGGAACCCUGAUCCAGCCAUGCCGCGUGUGUGAAGAAGGCCCUCGGGUUGUAAAGCACUUUCAGUGAGGAAGAACGCCUGGUGGUUAAUACCCAUCAGGAAAGACAGCACUCACAGAAGAAGCACCGGCUAACUCCGUGCCAGCAGCCGCGGUAAUACGGAGGGUGCGAGCGUUAAUCGGAAUUACUGGGCGUAAAGCGCGCGUAGGUGGCUUGAUAAGCCGGUUGUGAAAGCCCCGGGCUCAACCUGGGAACGGCAUCCGGAACUGUCAAGCUAGAGUGCAGGAGAGGAAGGUAGAAUUCCCGGUGUAGCGGUGAAAUGCGUAGAGAUCGGGAGGAAUACCAGUGGCGAAGGCGGCCUUCUGGACUGACACUGACACUGAGGUGCGAAAGCGUGGGUAGCAAACAGGAUUAGAUACCCCUGUAGUC
rnacentral:rRNA from 1 species